AGAGAGGUCUGGAGACCGUCUCGUUCUUUUGCGUUUUCGGCGCUUUCCUCCUUGUCUUUCUUUGGUGGUUGCUUCGUCCGUUGCUGUGCGGGCCCGGGAACGCGGGUUUGCUGUUGUGAGUGGUCAGUGCGAUCAGAGGGUACAGAAUGGAUCUCCGAAGAGGGGUUCGCCGCUGGACCUCCAAGAGAACCCCCUGUAGACUUGUCCAGCCUUCUGUCUCCUGAUCUCGGGAAGUUACUGUUGGCGGAAAGCGGACUUGGAGUGGACCAGGAAUGAGAUGUUGGAAUCCGGUCGCUUAUCUUGUUUUUACGGGCUUACUUCCUGCAGGUUGGGAGCCCUGUGAGCCACAGGGCAGUAAAUAGAUGCGGCCUGAUGUGCUUGGUUCAGUCUGUCCUGCAACAGGACUUGAGAUCUCAACUAUGGAGCUGGAAUACAAGGGUUCUUGGAAAAGAUUGCCUCUGCUUUCCUGAGAAAGGGUGAUAGUUUGGUUGAAACAGUCUCACAAGGGUUUUGUGUAACCUGAGAACUAUCUAGAGGCCUGUGCCCAUUUUGAAGAAUCCAGGAUUAUGGUUAAAUUUAGUAAAACUUUUAACUUGUAUCCUUAUCUGGAGAGAGAAAAUAAAAUUCUUUAAACGAA